rnacentral:rRNA from 1 species
ACGGAAGGCAGCAGUGGGGAAUAUUGGUCAAUGGGGAAACCCUGAACCAGCGACGCCGCGUGAGUGAAGAAGUAUUUCGGUAUGUAAAGCUCUAUCAGCAGGGACGAUAAUGACGGUACCUGACUAAGAAGCCCCGGCUAACUACGUGCCAGCAGCCGCGGUAAUACGUAGGGGGCAAGCGUUAUCCGGAUUUACUGGGUGUAAAGGGAGCGUAGGUGGCCAUGCAAGUCAGAUGUGAAAUCCCGGGGCUCAACCCCGGAGCUGCAUUUGAAACUGCGUAGCUAGAGUGCAGGAGAGGUAAGCGGAAUUCCUAGUGUAGCGGUGAAAUGCGUAGAUAUUAGGAGGAACACCAGUGGCGAAAGCGGCUUGCUGGACUGCAACUGACACUGAGGCUCGAAAGCGUGGGGAGCAAACAGGAUUAGAUACCCUGGUA